CAGAGCAUGAGCAGGGGAGGGGCAGAGAGGGAGGGAGACACAGAAUCCGAAGCAGGCUCCAGGCUCUGAGCUGUCAACACAGAGCCCGGCGCGGGGCUCGAACUCAGACUGUAAGAUCAUGACCUGAGCUGAAGUCGGACACUUAACCGACUGAGCCACCCAGGCAUCCCUGAAAGGGUGCAAUUUUAAAUCAGCAUCAGCAAAGGACUCGCUGACAAGGGGGUAUUUGAAUAAAGCCCCUAAGGAGGGAAGCGGGCCUUGCAUGUAUUAAGGUGAAAUGCCUUCCUGGUAGAAGGAGCAGCAAGUGCAAAGGCCCUGAGGUGGGAGUGUGCCUUUCAGGCUUGAGGAACAGCACAAGGAGGCGAGUGUGGCUGGAGUGAGCAAAGAGGCAAGGUGUGAGAAAUAAGGCCAGAGAGGCACAGGGGCCAGACUGCAAUAGGAUUUCAUGGGCCACUGUGGGGAAGGGACACACAUCUGGGGAGACCUGAAUCUAUGCAAUUUCAGGGGCCAUCCUUUAAAAAAAAAAUUACAUAUAAAACGUUGACUCUGGGCCUCGGAAGGUGCCUGGGGCAAGUGAGGGGCCUGGACAGUACACCUGACCAGAGGGAGACUUUUGGCUUUUGCCCAGAAUGAGAGGGAAGCAUAGGAGAGUUCUGAGCCGACGAAUGACCUGACCCAAUUAAAUCUGUCUGGCCACAGUGUGGAAGAUGAACCGGGGGCAGAGGGCGGACAGGAGAGAAAUCGGAAUACCGAUGAGCAAUGUGGACCAGAUAACACAAUACUCAGAGACGUGGAGUGGCUGGCCCAAGGUCACACAGCCAGUGAAUGGCAGAGCCUGGAUUCAGACCCAGGUCUUCCCAACUCCAAAGUGGAUAGCCAACACACUAGGGAAGCAAGGUUUGGGGACCCUGGUAGCAUGUCAGGUGGGAAAGGCAGUUCCUAGAAGUGAGGCACAUCCCAGGGACCACGGGGUUCCCUGGGACCGCUUCACAGCUACCCCCCAACAAAGCCUGCAGAGAAGGUUCUUGGCACCCUGUGCCACGUGUCUCCCCGAUUCCUUCCUAAACCUGUUUCUGACCCACCGGCUGGCAGAUCUGAGCCUCACUCUUGGGGAAAUGUUUUUGGCUCUCCGGUUUUCUUAAUUCACUGACAAGGUAAUGACGGCCUCGAUCCAUUUAUACACAUUUUCUAAAGGAGUUUCUGCAUUAGGAUGCAAAGCAGGCUUCUCUGGCUUGGAGAAAACCUGAGAUUCCCAGGAUAUGAUCUUCCAACAGAUUUAGCCCCUAAAUCAAUUCACUGCAUUUACACUGAUAGGAACUGAGGGUCCCAGAUGCAUCCACUCAACAGGUGAGACUCAAAUGAGCCCCCUACUGUCCCAGUAAUCUAUACGGCUUGGACCAGUAUUUUUAUUAUUCUCACUAUGGAUUUGAAAGGCCUUAACCCAUCCUUUGGGAUGUCCAACUUGACUGUAGUUUACAUAGAGCAUUCACUUCUUCCUUGGAAGGAGGCAGGGCGGCAGGGGGGGGAUGGGGGGGGGAGUGGAAAUUGACACAUCAGGGAAGCCCUGACUUGUGAAUCUUUCACCAGCUAGAGGCUUUGUUCUUUUCAAACCACACCCCUUUGACACCAGGAACAGAGCCCAGCAGGCCAAGCUGAACAGCCCUUGUCCCCUCCAGUCCUCCCCCAGCCCUCUGCUCCUGGCAAAACCUGCCAGCAGGAGCAGAUAUUUGAUCUGUCGUACGUAGAAGCUGUGCUGUUACAUUUCCCAGAUGUUCGGCUCCCGGGACUGAAGGCUCAGGUUACGGCUAAUCAGGGCUGCUCUAGCCUACAGACCCCAUUCCCACCACACCCUCCCACCCCCAAGAGACAGUUGGGAUCCAGGGCCCACGUGGCCAACUGAGAUGGAGUGGGUAGGACCUGCCUGGGGUCAGGGGGCUCAUGGAAAUGACCCCUUUAGAGUCUUCACGUCAAUGACCUAGAAGGCGUGUCCUCUCAAAGCCCUCUAGGACCAGUCACACUGGGUGAUGCCUCCCCCACCCCUGGGCCUCAAGCACCUGUAUCUCCCCGCCCCCUAGAGCUCACUUCCUAUCCUCGUCAGUAGUUUAGAGUCUGGAGGGACUCUGCAAACACCCCACGAGAAAAACGGAACAAACAGUGGUCACUGCAGCUAGAGUGAGGCCACCAGAACAUGCCUGAUUUCUCCCCCAAUACAUUGGGGCUCACUUUACCGCUAAGGGGAAGAAGGGAGGUUACAAAUUCAGCACUAAAAAAAAUUUUUUUUUUCUGCUCCCAGGAUAAGGUCCGGGGCCAGAGACGUAACAAUGAGAAGUGGGAGGUGACAGAAGCCCACAUCCUGUCCACGGAAAUACAACAAAGGCCUCUCACCCUUUUUUGUAUGAAAGACCGCUCUUGUCCAGGGGUGCACUGGACUUUGUAAAAUGUGUGCGACGAUCUGGUCGCUGCAGGUAAUUCGAUCCCAAGACCAAAAUCGGGCUGUAGCAAACUUUGGACUUCAACCCAGCCUAACCAGGGGAUUCGGGACCACGCGAGCGGCUAGAUGUCGGACAGCGGCGGCCACCCAAGCCGGGCCAGAAAAUGGCGGAGAUUGGCGAGCAGCAGCCCCACACCCUCCUUUCCUGUAUCUACUGGGCUCCCAUUCCAAGGGCAGAACUGGAGGGGCCCCUGGGAUCAUGCAGCCCAACCCUCUCAAUUCACAGUCAGGGGGACUGAGGCCUGGAGAGGGGAUGGUCGCCUCGGUGUUGAUUUCUCCUUUCCUCGGGAAGCCAGCUCCCAACAGAUGGUCAGGGCUGAAAGCGGGCGGGGGGGUCCCUCCAAGGUCGCCCAGCACCUGCACUUGGCUGAUGAGGACAGCAGAGCUCCAGGAAUUCCCCAAGGCAUGAGAAACAGUAUGGACAGCCUUUCAAAGGGCUCUCGAUCCUUGGAAAUGCCAAGAAACCUCAUCCUCCCAGGGCAGCGGUUUCCAAACUUUUGUAUUUUUAGCAGCAGAAGCCAUCCUCCAAACAAACCUUAUGCAAAACCUCAAGCUGCAAACACAUCGGGGCGGGCGGGGGGGGGGGGGGGGCUGCUCUCACAUGUGCAGCCUGGGCCCGGCCCCGGACUCCCCCCACAGCACCCAAGACUGCUUCCGCAGGACCCUCCGUGGAGCUCAGUCUGCAACCCCAGGCUCUCGGGGGCCUUGUAGCCCUGAAGCUGAAGCAGUCAGACAGGGUGAGCUCUUACUUAAGACCCCUGGAGGGUGUGGCUGGUCUCUGAGACCUGGAUGACUUCGUUCUCCACCAGAGCCUGGCCCCCGUCCCCAUUGAGCUGUCUCAUGCGCAGGUUAAUGGAGCCAUAGGUCUUCCUGGAGCCCCUGCCAGGGACGAAGGUGGGCCGGCGGUACAGCUCGCCCUUGCACAGGGAGACCAUCAGCAGCACUGACAAGAGGAUGCCACCCACUGUGAGCAGCCCCAGGCCCGCGAUGAUGCACUUGUCCAGGGCCCAGAUUAAAGGGGAAUCGGGUUCAAGUGGGAUCGAGUGAGGUGCCCAGAGCACAAAAGUGAAAGUGACACUCUCGGUUCCUGGAGGCUGGGGACAAGACCCGAGUUCCGUCUGAAGAUCAUGGGUCCCCAGGAAGACUGAGGCCAGCUCACUUGCCUGUCCUCGGCUAGGACCUCUCACCUCUGUGAGCCUCAGCGUUUACCUGUGGGUAGGAUCCUAAAAAUGCAGGAUAAAAAUGCAGGCUGUAGGAGCUUCCAGAAGAUCAGCUGGGGGCCGCCACCUAGAAGGACCAGCAGAUAGGUUACCCUGUCCUGGCGCCACGGCCACCUCGUGGGAGAGCCUGACCUGUCCUGCUCCAAAGGCCUGUGCGGUCCAUAGCCAGCCAGGACUGCAGAGGCCGCCCUGGAAGCUGGGUGCCUGGGCCUUUGAGGCUGGUGUGGUGGAGACCUGGGUGGGACCUCAGGAAUGAAGAGGGUUCAGUGUCUCCCUGACCUCACAGGCCUGGCCUCUCAUUUGGGACUUUGAGGGGAAGCCAGCUGUGGUGUCAGACCUCCCCAUAAAGACCUCCCUAUAAAGCACCCGUGGUCCCCUCCCGCGGUCAUACACAGUCCUGCCUCAGAGCCUUUGCCUUUACCAUUCCUUCUUCCCCAGGACACUGUGCUGCCUGACAUCCCCAGAGCUCACUCCCCCACGUCUUUCAAGUCUUUGGUCAGAUGUCACCUUCUCAGAGACACCUGCCCAGACCAUCCUUUUAAAACUUGCAGUGCCGGGGAGCCUGGGUGGCUCAGUCGGUUGAGCGUCCGACUCUUGAUUUCAGCUUAGGUCACGAUCCCAGGGUCUGGGUCGUGGGAUCGAGCCCCGCAUUGGGCUCCAUGCUGAGUGUGGAGGCUGCUUGGGAUUCCCCCUCCCACCCCACCUCUCCCCCUCUCCCCACUCUCUCUAAAAGAAAUAAAUAGGGGCGCCUGGGUGGCUCAGUCGGUUAAGCAUCCGACUUCAGCUCAGGUCAUGACCUCACUGACUGUGAGUUCGAGCCCCGCGUCGGGCUCUGUGCUGACGGCUCGGAGCCUGGAGCCUGCUUCAAAUUCUGUGUCUCCCUCUCUCUCUGCCCCUCCCCCGUUCAUGUU